rnacentral:rRNA from 1 species
UACAGAGGGGGCAAGCGUUAUUCGGAAUUAUUGGGCGUAAAGGGCGCGUAGGCGGCUUUGCAAGUGGCGGGUGAAAUCCCUCGGCUUAACCGAGGAACUGCCUGCCAGACUGUGAGGCUUGAGACCGGGAGAGGUGAGUGGAAUUCCCAGUGUAGCGGUGAAAUGCGUAGAUAUUGGGAGGAACACCAGUGGCGAAGGCGGCUCACUGGACCGGAACUGACGCUGAGGCGCGAAAGCCAGGGGAGCAAACGGG